GGUGCAAGCAGUGGAAAUAGCUCACUGGCUAGCCAACUGAGCUGAACUGCCAAGAUCCAAGUUCAGUGUUUUUGAGAUGCUGUCUCAAAAAGCAAGGCGGGGGCUGGUGAGAUGGCUCAGCGGGUAAGAUCACCCGGCUGCUCUUCUGAAGGUCCGGAGUUCAAAUCCCAGCAACCACAUGGUGGCUCACAACCAUCUGUAACGAGAUCUGACUCCCUCUUCUGGAGUGUCUGAAGACAGCUACAGUGUACUUACAUAUAAUAAAUAAUAAAUAAAUCUUAAAAAAAAAAGCAAGGCGGAACCAAGCUGUGCACUGUUAAUCCCAGCACCGAGGAGGCAGAGGCAGUCAGAUAUCUUGGUUGGAGGCUAGCCUGGUCUACAGAGCUAGUUCUAGGAAAGCCAGGACUACACAGGGAAACCCAGUCUAAAAGCAAAACAAAAUAAAACAAAACAAAAAUCAAGGUGGAGUGGAACUGGGUGGCUUAUGGUUAUCAGGUUCAGGGCUCUUGAAGAGGACCCUGGUUUGAUUCCCAGCCCCCACAUCAGGCAGUUCACAGCUGUCUCUCCAGCUGCAGGAGGUCUGACCUCACCCCCCCCCCCCCAGCUCCCUGGGCUCCUGCACACAUUCGAGAAAUAAACACGCAUAGACACUUCUACAAAGCAAGAUGGAAAGAGAUUGAGGAAGUCACCUCACACCAACCUCUGGCCUCCAGACACACGUGCACAACCACUCACAAGUAUACACACACACACACACACACACACACACACACACACACACACAAUCACACACACACACACACACACACACACACAAGAAUGUGCACACAUAAGAUCAGAGCAGGGCUGACCAGAUCCUGGCUGCUGUCCACAAUUCCAUGUGGGCUGGGAGUGGGGUGUCUCUGCCUCUCCCUGCACACAUCCACCCAGGACCCUCAAGUAACUGCAAGUUGUUAAGUUUGUUCCUCUCUCCUCGUCUAGCCCAGCACCCCAGGGACUUCAUGGUGCCAAAAAUGUCUGUGGCCUCAAAGGCAGCCGGGAGGAAAUGCGUGCUGUACUCAGCGAAGGGCUGUUUCUUCCUUCCAGAAGAGCUGGGGGCCUUGGUGCCUCUGACAAGGCUGAGCUCAGGAGCCAAUCACUGCCCAGGGAGCCAGUAAUUAAUAAAGAUAGAUAAUGAUGGACCAUCUGUCCCAGCCCGAGCUCCGUGGCAAGGCCACGUCGAACUCUCAUUAGGCAUUCCAGUGCCGUUGUCCCCACAGAUGUUGGCGGUGGCUGCGUCGGUCCCAUGGGAAGACAGAGGUUGAACAUAUUUAGGCAAACAGCACGGAGCAGGCUGGGUCUCAGUCAUGACGCUCCCACGGGGUCAGUUUCAGCCAAGAUUCAAAGUAUAAGGGGACCUCCAUUCGCCCUCCACCCUGGAAGGUGGCUCUUAGCACCAACUAAGAGAGAUUCCAAUCCCACCAUAUACUCACUGUGCGACCUUGGGAAAGUGAGCUCAGAGCCAAGCAUCCUCAGAGAGAACCAAGCAUCUCGUGGGCUCAGGAAGACAGGGUAAGAGGUCAGGACUUUAGCCUUGUUGUAUGCAAGGCUCAUGCAUACAGAGUCCCUAGAGCUCUGAGCACACAACGCUGUGCAUAGGAAAUGCUUGCUGGACAUUAGAGAAGGCAUGUCUAGGGGCACACUUGUCCUAGAACAUUCCAGAAGAAUGAACAAAGUUUGCUCUUGUUUGUAAGUUCAGCCACUGUUACCUUCUAUUGUAGCCCUGUGGACAAUGUCAGCCCAGAAGAGGGUCAGCUCUGUAGGUAGAUGGGGCUGGGCACCUUGAAAACCUGGAGCCUGCAGACUUAAAGCAAAAUGUAGUUUCUCUGGUUAGAGGAGUACUCUGCAGCUUGCGCUCUGGGCUUGGUGGGUUUUCUCUGAGUGAACAGCCAGAUGUGCUCAGCUUGGAACUCUCUAAAAUAAAACAACUUACAUCCACCAAGGACAGCCAGGCCCCGAAUAGACUGGAAAGUGGCCUUGAGAGGCCACAGCACAGAGCUGAGGACCCCAUGAGGUCGCCCGGUCUGCCAUCGAUGGACAUCAAGAUAGGAGCUCAACGCAGGAACUUGGAGUCAGAAACCGAAGCCGGAACUGUGUUGCUUUCCCUACUUGCUCAGCUGUCCUUUUAUCCAGCUUGGCCCCGCCUGACUCAGAUAGUACCACCUACCUUGGACUGGAUCUUCCUAUCAAGAGAAUGCUACUGAAGACAAGUCCACAGGCCAAGCUGAUGAAGGCAAUUUCUCAGUUGAGAUUCCCCCUUCCCAGGUAUGCCUAGAUCUAUGUCAACUUGACAAAAAUUAAUUUGCAGAAGGGGAGAAUAGAGGGGGUCAAUUUUCUUUGGGGUUUUUUUUCUGAGGUUUUUGUUUGUUGUUGUUGUUAUUUUUGUUUUUUCUUGUUUUGUUUUGGUGGGUGGGUUUUUGUUUGUUUGUUUUGUUUCGUUUUUGUUUUUGUUUUUAUUUUU
rnacentral:lncRNA from 1 species